rnacentral:tRNA from 1 species
GGUGGUAUGGCGUAAUAGGCAGGGCAUUGGGCUCAGGCCCAAGAGGUCCCAGGUUGGAACCCUGGUGUCACUG